UACGUAGGGUGCAAGCGUUAAUCGGAAUUACUGGGCGUAAAGCGUGCGCAGAUGGUUACGUAAGUCGGGUGUGAAAGCCCCGGGCUCAACCUGGGAAUUGCAUUCGAGACUGCGUAGCUAGGGUGCGGAAGAGGGAAGCGGAAUUUCCGGUGUAGCGGUGAAAUUCGUAGAUAUUCGCAAGAACACCAGUGGCGAAGGCGGCUCACUGGCCCGAUACUGACGCUGACGGCACGAAAGCGUGGGGAGCAAAGCAGGGAAUUAAGAUGACCCGG
rnacentral:rRNA from 1 species